rnacentral:lncRNA from 1 species
CAGAAGCAGCAGCAGCACGAAUGUGUAGUCCUGUUCAGCUCCCUAGCACACAUAGCAAUGAUUGAUAGUAAUGAACCCUGAAUGAAGCUAUAAACAUCCCUCCAUGAUGCUAUAUAAUACAUAUGGCGGCCGCAGCAGAGUAACUUUAAAAUAUAUAAUUAUUAUUGCCAGCCACCCAAGCAAAUGAAUCCAGAUAGUAGUGGUAGUAGUAGUAGUACCUAUACCUCUGUUUUGUCAUCUUCACAGAGCAGGGUAUGUAUGCAUUUUGUAUGUAUGUAUGAACUAGGUGAUGAUAACAACAACCUCAUCUAUUAUCAAGCGGAGACCAUGCACAGGAUGCUGCUCGGAGAUGUGCACACGUACAUAUGUGGUAUAUGUGGUGCAGACACGUAUGCUGUACCUUAUAUACGUUGAUGACGGCACACGUGCACACUCUGUCGUACAAGGAUAUUAUAUACCUAGAGAACAUACAUAUGUGGAGGGAGGGACAGGCACAGGGAGACGAUGGCGAUGGGGACAGCAGAUACAGAUACAGACGGCGAGACUGAGCGGAUGACUGUCGAGGGAGACUGUGGGAGAGUUUUUAUUAAAUUCUUAGACUGUGGGUGGGUGGGUGUAUGUAUGUAUGUAUGUAUGUAUGUAUGUAUAUCCGCGCACUGCACUUGCGAUGUAUGUUGUUGGUCUGUCUGUUGGGUUGUUGUUGUACAUGUCGUACUGUACGUGAUACUACUUUAUAAUUAGUAGUAGUACACAUACGCAGCAGCAUAUGAUGGCUCCGCGGGUAUGUGGAUAUUAUGGGACACGCGCAUGCACGACGGUGUGGCGAUGAUGCACCCACGUAGUAGUUGUACAUAUUGUUGUUGUUGUUGUUGUUGUUGUUGUUGUUGUUGUUGUGUAUGCUCUUUUUUCCCUUCUCGUCGGACACACGAUCUCUCUCUAUAUGCAUAUCUACACCAACACAAUCAAACAAUGCUGCUGUAUCUACUUGGCACGAUUUGGCACAUAUGUAAAGUAUAANNNNNNNNNNNNNNNNNNNNNNNNNNNNNNNNNNNNNNNNNNNNNNNNNNCAUACGAUAGAAACUUUUAUAAAAAAUGUGCCGUCGCCCUAAUUGUUUUUAAUUUUCCUCCCCUCCCCCCCCCCAGCCAGCAGGUGAAAAGCAGAGACAUGGCUAGGAUGAGCCAAGCGCCAGCGCCAGUGCCCGUGCUAGUGCUUAGGGUUUAAGCACAGAUGCCGUGGCGUGUGGGGGGGGUGCUUUUGAUGACGAAGGCCGUGACGUGCGGCAUGCUGCCGAUGCUGCCGAUGCUGGCCUGCUACCCGCUGGCGCUGCUACGGGGCCGACCCGUGGGUCAUCACAGCGACCCAUCUUUUGCCAGCCCUGCACUGCCGCCGCGUCACCUUUAGAGCUGGCGCAUGCGUUAGACGGCGCCGUCAUGAGUCCCCUCGCGGCGGCGUGGAUGCUGGGACUGUACGACGGCAUUGACGAGAUGGCGAUAUGAUGACGAUGGUGGCGAUGACGGCCAGCUGCAUCAGGCCAACAGCAGCACAGCCAUCAGCUGCCGAUGAUGAUUAUAAUGAUGAUGCUGGCGAUUGCAAUUGGUACAUAGAGAUUGGAAGGGGUUUGUGGAGUAUUUUUGUUGUUGUGGGGUUUGUGAAAGGUUUUUUUUUCCAUUGUUGAGGUCUGUUGGGUGUAUUAUAUUUUACUACGACACGGAGAGGAAGGGUGGAUAUUAUUAUACGAGGUUUUUGAGGCGUUUUGUGUUUUCGGGGUACUUUAUUACUCUAGAUAUAUACGAGGUUUUCUUUUGGGUCUGGGAUAAUAUAUUAUAUUAUAUGAGGAGGUACAAAGUACGAGGUGAUUGGGUUUUGGGGUAGUAGAGCAGGGACAAGGGACAACGUAAUUUUAAAAUUGUGUGGUUGAGGUUCGGGGGGUUUUUGGGAGGUGUGUUUGGUUGGGUACGAGAUAUAUGAUGAGGUGUUCGGGGUUUGGGCGGCUUUGAGAGGUGUCUUUUUUGAGAGGGGGGUACAAGCGUUUUUUGGGGGUACGCGGUACUAUACAUAUAGGUGUUCGGGGGUGGGAGGACACAAGCUGCACGCGCGUGUACGGUGUGUAUAUGUGUGUACGCGGCAGGGAGGGGGCAGGGCGAGGGUAUAUAAUGAUGUGACCGUGAAUGGGGGUGAGGAGGGCGGUUUUGGUGGAUGUGGCUGGAGACACACGCACGUGUGUGUGCGCGCAUGUCUCCAGACACCCACCAAAACCCCCACCUCACCCCCAUGCAUGCGUGCGUGCGUGUGUGUGCGCGCACGCACGCGCACAUAUCCCGCACACGCACAUAUCCCGCACACGCACAUAUCCCGCACAGUUGGCACAGCUAUUGUGUAUCAGCAGAAGCAGCAGCAGAAGCAGCAGCACGAAUGUGUAGUCCUGUUCAGCUCCCUAGCACACAUAGCAAUGAUUGAUAGUAAUGAACCCUGAAUGAAGCUAUAAACAUCCCUCCAUGAUGCUAUAUAAUACAUAUGGCGGCCGCAGCAGAGUAACUUUAAAAUAUAUAAUUAUUAUUGCCAGCCACCCAAGCAAAUGAAUCCAGAUAGUAGUGGUAGUAGUAGUAGUAGUACCUAUACCUCUGUUUUGUCAUCUUCACAGAGCAGGGUAUGUAUGCAUUUUGUAUGUAUGUAUGAACUAGGUGAUGAUAACAACCUCAUCUAUUAUCAAGCGGAGACCAUGCACAGGAUGCUGCUCGGAGAUGUGCACACGUACAUAUGUAUAUAUGUGGUGCAGACACGUAUGCUGUACCUUAUGUACGUUGAUGACGGCACACGUGCACACUCUGUCGUACACAAGGAUAUUAUAUACCUAGAGAACAUACAUAUGUGGAGGGAGGGACAGGCACAGGGAGACGAUGGCGAUGGGGACAGCAGAUACAGAUACAGACGGCGAGACUGAGCGGAUGACUGUCGAGGGAGACUGUGGGAGAGUUUUUAUUAAAUUCUUAGACUGUGGGUGUGUGUAUGUAUGUUGUUACAGGGUGGUUAACUUCGCCAGCGGCCCCCUUUCCCGGGGCAGUCCCUGCUCUCCCCUGCUAGAGGGGCACCCUAAUCC